GGUAGGAUGGCUGAAUAAUAAGCAUUAGACUGUAAAUCUAAAGAUAAAGGUUUGUACUCCUUUUCUUACCA
rnacentral:tRNA from 1 species